GUUCAAACGAGGAAAGGCUUAUGGUGGAUACCUAGGCACCCAGAGACGAGGAAGGGCGUAGUAAGCAAAGAAAUGCUUCAGGGAGUUGAAAAUAAGCGUAGACCCGGAGAUUCCCGAAUAGGUCAACUUUUCGAAAUGCUUUUGAAUCCACGGGCAAGCAAGAGACAACCUGGCGAACUAAAACAUCUUUGUAGCCGGAGGAAAAUAAAUAAAAAGCGAUUCUCGUAGUAGCGGCGAGCAAAAUGGGAGCAGCCUAAACCGUGAAAACGGGGUUGUGGGAGAGCUAUACAAGCGUUGUGCUGAUAGGCGAAGCGGUUGAAUGUUGCACCCUAGAUGGCGAGAGUCCAAUAACUGAAAGCAUCACUAGCUUAAGCUCUAACCCGAGUAGAUGGCGAGAGGACCACCUUGCAAGGCUAAAUACUCCUAGGUGACCAAUAGUGAAGUAGUACCAUGAGGGAAGGGUGAAAAGAACCCCCAUUGGGGAGUGAAAUAGAACAUGAAACUGUAAGCUCCCAAGCAGUGGGAGGAGCCCAGCCCGAGGCUCUGACCGCGUGCUUGCUGAAGAAUGAGUAGACGAAUCAUAGGCAGUGGCUUGAUUAAGGGAAACCACUGGAGCCGUUGCGAAAGCGAGUCUUCAUAGGAUAAUUGUCACUACUUUUGGACCCGAACCUAGGCGAUCUAUCCAUGACCAGGUUGAAGCUUGUGUGAAACUAAGUGGAGGUCCGAACUGACUGAUGUUGAAGAAUCAGCGGAUGAGUUGUGGUUAGUGGUGAAAUGCCACUCGAGCCUAGCGCUAUCUGGUUCUCCCCGAAAUGCGUUGAGGCACAACAGUUGAGUGGACAUCGAGGGGUAAAGAACUAUUUUGGUGCGGGCAGCGAGAGCGAUACCAAAUCGAGGCAAACUCUGAAUACUAGAUAUGACCUCAAAAUAACAAGGGUCAAGGAGGUAGGGGUAACAGCCCAAAUCACCAAAUAAGGCCCCAAAAUGACCGCUCAAUGAUAAAGGAGGUAGGGGUGUAGAGACAGCUAGGAGGUUUGCCUAGAAGCAGCCACCCUUGAAAGAGUGCGUGAUAGCUCACUAAUCGAGCGCUCUUGGGCCAAAUAUGAAUGGGGCUAAGCGAUCUUCCGAAGCUGUGGGAUGUAAAAAUUUAUCGGAAGCGGAGCAUUCCGCCUUAGAGGGAAGGACCCGCAUGAGUAGUGGUGGAUGAAGCAAAAUGGAGAAUGUCGGCUUGAGUAACGCAAAGGUUGGUGACAAUCCAACAUAUAGGAAGCAUAUAGGAAGCAUAUUUCUGUUCAAUCUCUUUCUUCCUUUUUAGAUCAGCGGGAAAAUAUUUCUGAAGGAACUUCUGUUUGAAUGUACCGCAAACAAUCACUUGGCCCUCCGUUUCCAUUUGGCGUCGGGUCAUCUCCCACCAGUUUCCGGCUUCAUUUGCCAGCAUAUAGGAAGCAUAGGUUACCUUUUGAACAU